rnacentral:lncRNA from 1 species
UUUUUUUUUUUUUUUUUUUUUACUGGUGUCAACUAUAGUUCUUAAACUAUGGAACACAGUUUUUUUAUACUAUAGCUAGAAAACCUCAGCGACUUUCCGUGUCCAGUUGAGGAAUAUACAUCACAAUUGUUUCAACCCUCAGCUGAGCUUCUAUGUGUUUCUAAAGGCAGCAAGCAAGAUGUGUACAGGGUAGAAAUAAAGCCACUUGGGUCUGCACCAACUAGCUGUGAGGUCUUACUAUAUGCCUCGGUUUUUUUAUGUGUAUAUUAAGGAUAUUUGAGUAGCAAUCUCUCAAAAACCCUUUAAUUCUACAAGUCAAACACAUGCAAAUUGCUUCUCCAAAUUCACUGAAGAAUAGAACAGAAACAUAUUAACUAAAUAUCUAAACUACAUUGGCGGGAGUUUUUCCCCAUAUUAUAAAGAAACUUCUGUUGAUUAAAUUAAAUAUAAAUAGUAGGUCGUGGAAAGCAUCAUCAGAAGAAGUGAAGAACAGGAGGUAAAAGGAAUAAAAUUUUUACUGCUUCCUUGGUAGAGACAGUUUUUUAGGCUAGAGAAAUGGCAGAUUCUUAUAUUCUGGUGUACAGGAACUAUAUGAAUAAAACAUGGCUGUGCAAAUGAACUCGCAACCUUAUUCCAAAGCACCAUUCAGGAAUAAUACGUUUAAUGUCUCAUCAACUUCCCCAGAAAAGUGAGAGUAAACCUGUGCACACAGACAAAACAACCCUAACAAAAACCAAGGUAGAAAUAAAUCUGCUAUGGGGAACAGAUUUGAUCAACAUGUGAAGGUUUUCAAAACUCUAAGUAAUAUGCUAGUCACUUAAAAAUACUCCCACAUUUCUGCUUUCUCCCAUCAUUCUAUGCCUUAAGAUUCAUCUGUCAACUUUGAUGCAUCUUUUUAAGUACCCCUCCAAGCCUAAAAAUCUAGACCACAGAAGAGCCCUUUUUUCUUUGAAACUAUCUGAUCAAUCCAUAGAUCAUUUACCUGCAAGGAUUAUUUGGUGAAGCUAAAGCGGCACAUCAACCGGCAGCAUCUGAGGGCUGAGGCUGCAGAACGUCAACAACAAAUUGUCAUUGGCAUUCCAUUUAUGAACCUUCAAACAGCAUCAGAUCUUUUCCAUGGGAAACCAGAUCAGGUCAGACUAGAGCUGAAUAUUUCUUAACAAGCUAACCAUCAAAAGAAUUUACGUUUUGAAUAAAAAGGCUAUCAUUUGUUGAUUUGAAUAUCAAAGGGAUCCACUGCAAACUCCCAGUCUAGAAAAACCUCCCUAAGCUACACUAGACAGGUGUUUAAUAAUCUAUUAUUAAGGCACUAUUUUAGGUUACUCAGAAUUAUAAAAAAUAGCUGUAACUGUGAAGCUGCAAAUGGGACUGCACAAAGAAAUGAAUGCUAUUAACAUACUAUUAACAAUUCAAAAGAAUGAGUUGACAUACCAAUCAAACUUGUUAAUUGACUGUCAAUGGCCUGUCCCUGAAUAUACAACAUGACUGCAUUAUAGAUUUCAAAUGCUGACAGGAAGACAGUUCCAUUUGCAUUAACUUCAUAAACUGAUCAACAACCAAACUGCCACAUACAUUUAUAAUGGGAAGCUGAAUCAUUUCAAUAUUCAUGGAGCUCUGUAAUUGUAAAUUAGGUACUGGCAAACAAUACAAUACUGUACAUAUUCUAAAAUAUCCUAAAUUUCAUUGACCUACUUUCAUUCUGAUUUUAAAAGACAGAAAAAAGUUUCAUCUUGAAGUGAUCAUUACUUUAAUUUAUGGUUUGUGCCUCAGGCAAAAUUUGUUUGCAACCCAAUUUGCAACUGUGGUUUACAGUUGCACUCUAGAAGCAUCAGCGGUCUAGAAAACACAAGGUAUGAAAGGUGAUGCACAAGUGUUCUUGCCUUACUUGGGGAUUUUGAAUACAGAAAUAUGAAACAAAAUGGUUUCAAUUCCUUCGGUGACAACCAAAUAAUCCAUUAUGACAAGAUGUUUAGCAAAUAAACAUUAACAUAAUGAAAAGAAGGCUACCUAUUAGUCCUGCACUGGAGCUUCCUCAAAUCCACUUAAAUAGACCUGCUGUUCUGAAACCAUACUUCAAAAUCUUCAAUCAUCCAUCAGUUUGGGAAUCAAUAGAGUAACAGUGAAGAUAAAUGAGUGCUAAAGACUAUAGCUAACAGAGGCUUCAUGAGAAAUGAUCUGAAAUUCAAUAGUUAUCAGCAUGGAAAUAUUCCUUUCAAAUGCUUCUAUGAUCUCUUGAAGAAUUAACACUGAUUUCUUUGAAAAGCCGUUUUCCCCAGAGGUAAAUGCUACUUUUGUCUCUAAUAUUUUUCUCUGAUCAUUAUCUAUGCAUGACUUCUCCAUCCACUGGAGGUUGCUCAAUGUUUGUAGACGAAUCCUGGAGAAUUUGAAUGUGUCUUCACAGUUUUGAAUGGGCCAACUUGCUCUCAUUAGUUUCAGUAAAAAUCGUAUUAAAAUUUUUUGUUGGCUUUCCCAAUCAUUGUCUAUUGCUAAAUAAUUAUUAGUUGAAUGGGGGUACUCCUAAAUAAUGUGAAUGUUAUCUUAGAGGAGUACUCAUCCUACCAGUUAAGAUUUUUUAAAAUCUUUUUGCAAAUGAGCAGUAAUAUAUACUACAUAAAAGUAAAUAAUAUACACACACAAUAUGUCUCUGUGUGUGUGCAGAUGUGUAUAAAAUAUAUAAAUUUAGGGGCACCUGGGUGUGUCAGUGGUUGAGCAUCUGCCUUUGGCUCAGGUCGUGAUCCUGGGGUCCUAGGAUUGAGUCCCACAUGGGGCUCUCCCCGCAGGGAGCCUGCUUCUCCCUUUGCCUAUGUCUCUGCCUCUCUCUCUGGGUCUUUCAUGAAUAAAUAAAUAAAUUCUUAAAAAAAAAUAAAGUAUAUAAGUUUAUAUAAAUGUUUAUAUAUUAUAUAAUGUAUAAUACAUAUACUUACUUAUAUUUGUACAUAUAAAUGUAUAUAAUGCAAAUACAUAUAUUUAAUAUAGAUACAAUAUAUAUUUAAUAAACUUUGUAUUUUACAGUAGUUUUAGAUUUACAGAAAAGUUGCAUAAGAUAGUACAGUGUAUGUAACCUGUCUCCAGUUUCCCUUAUUGUUAACAUCGUCCAUUAUCAUGGUACAUUUGUCACAGCUAAUGUACCAAUACUGAUACAUUAGUAUUGAGUAAGAUACAUAUUUUAUUUGUAUUUCCUUAGUUUUUAUCUAAUGUUCUUUUUCUGUUGCAGGAUCUCAUCCAGGGUACUGCAUAACAUUUAGUCAUCAGGUCUCCUUUGGCUCCUUUGACUGUGACAGUUUCUCAAACUUUCCUUGUUUCUGAUGAACCUGACAGUUUUGAGUAGCACUUGUCAGGUAUUUUAUAAAUUAUAUUUUGUUUUUGGUUUGUCUGAUGUUUUUCUCAUGGUUAGACUGGGGUUGUGGGUUUUAGGGAGAAAGAUGACAGAAGGAAAGUGCCAUUCUCAUAAGUGAUACAUUUUUCUCUUUGAAAGUUCUCAGGAUACUAACUGUACUUAAAAUAUAAUAUUUUGAUUAAAAGCAAUUUAUUUAAAUCAUCAGUAAUAAUAUACAGAAGAGGCUGUGUGGAUAUAAUGGAAAGGCGUUCCAUUAGUAAUUAGUAGUAUAGUAGAUGUCAAGCUAUCUGUUCACUGUAGGUUUUGACCAUGUCUGGGCAUGUCUCCUCUUGAAUCAGCUUUCCUUCCCCAUCUCCCCUUGAAUUUUAUUAGAUAUAUUCUAAUUUGUGUCGUAUCCAUGUAGAGGCAGUGGUGCCCGCUACUUCAGUACUGAUAGAGUGUCAGUGGAUUGGUAGUCAUACAAGAGAGUGUUGGUGACUUGGGAAAAGAUCGGGUGCCAUUAGAAUAAACUUUAGUGCCUUCAUUUAGCAUUAGUAAUGACAAGGAUAAGUAUCACCCCUUAAAAGUGACAUCAGUAUAGCAAACUAGGAAAGGAAGAGAAACAUAGAAGCUCCAUAAAUAGCCAGAGGUAUUAGUUUUUCAUGUUUACGUAAGCUUUUUCUUGGAAAUGUGUAACAUCUUUGGGAAGAAUCAUAGGGCUAAGUUUUUCUCAGAGAGCCACAGCAUCUAGUCAGAGAGAUACCAGAUUAGAUAGCUAUUUACCUAUGGGCCUGACCUAUAGUCCUUGUUUACAUUUUCUUUGAGUUUCCAUAACCCAUGAAAUGGGAUCUGACCUACUUCAAAAAGUUGUUCUGAGACUUUGUAGAUGUGAGACUGUUUUGGAAAGUAUAACAAUUUCUUUAAAUAGGCUCCUAGGGUUAUAUGCAACCGAGGCUCAAGAAGUGGAAAUUGAUGUGGGAUCGAAGGGACUUUACAGGAAACAGAACCUUAGAAAAAGGCCUUGUGAGCACUGGAACUAAAGUCUUGUGGAUGGAGGGUGGUUCUUAAGAGCCACAGGAAUAUUUGCUUAGGAAUCUCCAUUCUAACAUUCAAAUGAAAUUCUAGUUUUCUAGGUGUCAGCUUUUUCUGUGUGUGUUUUCUCACUUGUUCUAUUACAGCACAUCUGUCUAUUGACUUGUGGUACUCCUAAACAAUUUCAGUGUGCUAACCUUAGAUCAUAAAGGCAAGGAAUGAAGGGAACUCCACAAAUGGCUACUUAGUUCACCACUCCAUAUGGAUUCCCUACCUACUAGGUUCCAUUUUCUUGUGGAUACAACUUUAGCUCUCCUAUGGAACAUCGUGGUCCUGCUAUUUUAUGACAAGUUUCUAUGCAUUCUUUUUACCUUAGCAGACUGAUAUUAGCCUAACCCAUAUCUUCUGCUUUUCA